GUGUUCCCUUGAAAACAUGUCUUUGGUGGUGGUUUUCAUUUUGUCUCUUUCUGAUGCUGUUAAAAAGGUGGCACAUGAGAAGAGAACAUCCUAAAGAGAAGGAGAGAGAUAGCAAGUACACUAGCACGUGAGCAGUGACCAACCCUUAGUGUGGAGAAGGAAUGAAGGAAGGAGCAGUUUGCCCCUGUUAAGAAAAUAAUUCUCGAUAUUGAAUGCUGAGUACCUGCACACUUACUCUCCAGAUGGGACCCAUGGUUUCUUGGUAGGCUCCAAGACACCUGAAAAGAACGGCAUUUCUUGUGUGAAUUCCAGGGAAAGGAGGUAUUAAAGAUCUGUGGAGAACACGGAUUGCAGCCUUCAGCAUCGAGCAGCCUCUGCUGUUCCCUCAAAAGCAUGCAGUGAUCAUUGCAGCUAAAGGGAAGGGUCCUAGGAGAAAGGAAGAACAGACAGUGGAGUAGACAAUGAAAGUGGUAAGACUGUGCAAGACUUGCCGUGCUGCAUAAAUCUGUGAUGAGGAGGGAGAUGUCUGCAGACUGACUCCACUUUCA